rnacentral:lncRNA from 1 species
AGUGCACUCCGACCCCUCUGCACACAGGAAUUCGUCCCGUCACCUCUGUGUACCAUCCAUAACCCUAAAAGACGGGCCUGUCAUCUUAUCUGGCAAGUGGGGUUUUAGCAGCCCCUUCAUUAAGCCCGGAGAACAAAGGCGGCUGGAUAAGCAAACUAAGGCUUGGAGAGCUGAGAGCUGAGAUCACAGGCCCAGGCUGUAAGAGGGAAGGUGGGACCAGAAAGAAUCCACAUUGCUCUCACCACCUCAAGAACUCUGAGGGCUGUGCUCACCGCUGUUCUGAAGCAUCACUUCCGCUCUGAAGAUCAGGGCAGCCCGAUUUCCCACGCGAGAGCGGAUAGGGCUGCCCCUGGGAUCUGAGCCAUGUCUGUGACCUACCCCACAGCUCACGACCAUGCUGGAUCCUUAACCAACUGAGCAAGGAGAGGGAUCGAACCCUCACCCUCCUGGAUACUAGUUGGGUUCAUUACUGCCGAGCCACAACAGGAACUCCUCUUUAGUUCUUGUUUUAUUCAUUCAUUCAUUCAUUCAUUCAUUUACUUAUUUAUUAUGGCCCCAGAGUGGCUUAUGGAAGUUCCUCGGCCAGGGGCCUGAAUCCACAGCCACUCCAGAUCCUUUAACCCACUGCUCCGGGAUGGGAAUUGAACCCACGCCUCUGCAGUGACUGGAGCUGCUGUAGUCGGAUUCUUAACCCACUGUGUCACAGCAGGAACUCCUUGUUUCCUUGAUUUAAGUCCUCUUGUCUCCCCUCAUGACCGGCAGAGCUCUUCCUCCUGCUGCCCUGACCUGCUUCGAGGUCAGACGCUAUGACACCUCCUCCAGGAAGCCCUUCCUGGUUUCCACUGCCUGCGGAGACCCCAGUCUUCGGAGAGUCCCAGAGCCUGCCUCUCAGAGCCUCUCGUCUGGCUUUCAGGGUGCAAAGCCCCUCCUCCCGCAGGUGCCAUGUCCCCACAGGGCACUCCCGCCCAGUUCAGCCUCCGCCCUGGCCCCUUUGAGACUCCCCAGCACCAGCAGGAUAAAUCACCCUCUUCUCUGGGCUAGGCUGGGCCUUUGGGUUUGUUCUGUUGCCCCCUCGUUCCGCAUCUGCCUCCUGCGGGCUGGUCAUCACGCAGACGGGAUUGAAGAAGGCAUGUCCCCCCGGCCUCCCUCUCAGGGUGGAGCAGCCAUCAUUCCUGGUGCUCAGCUGCCCGGAAGUCUCCCUUUCAUCCUCGUGAUGGUUAAUUUCAUGUGUCCACUUGCCUGGGCUAAGGGAUGUCCAGACAGCUGGUCACACAUCACUUCUGGGUGUGUCUGUGUGGAAGGUUCCAGAAGAGAGGAGCACUGGAAUCGAUGGACUGAGUGAAGAAGUAGAUGGGCAUCACCCGUUCCCCGAGGACGCAAACAGAACAUAAAGAUGAGCCACGUGCUCUCUGAGCUGGGACCUCCGCCUUCUGCUUUUGGGCAUCACGCUUCUAAGCUCCGCAGAACUUUAGACCCAGACUGAAUUCUACCACCCACUUUCCUGCUUCUCCAGCUUGCAGAUGACAGACUGCGGGGGUUUGGAGCCUCAUAAUUGCAGGAACUAAUUCUUGUACUAAAUGUAUAUAAAAUGUAUGUUUAUAUAGAAAA